GGAACUUUUAAUUGUGGGAGGCUGGUAGUCAGUUAAAUGCAGCGGAAACCAGUUAUAACAGAUGCAAGCUCUGUCUAAAUCCUCACUACUUAAAGCGUGCUCCUGUGGGAGCAGCAGGGACAGCCCCUGGGAAUGUGUUGGAAAUGCAGAAUCCAGGGCCCCCCACAGACCUGAACCAGAAUCUGCAUUUUAACAAGAUCCCCAGGGAAUUGCUCUGUAUGCCCUUCGGAGUCACCACAGCUCUGGAGCCCACAGAAGCUGAGAGGGAAAGUGCCCUGGAUUCCUUCACCCUGUGCUUGAAGACACGGCCUGUCUGGCAACAAUAUAGAGUAAAAUAAAUUAAACAUGGAGAAACCCAGAAGAAAAAAAGAAAGCAGAGAAAGCAACAGCAGAGAGGAGAUCUCAGCAAACUUUGGAAGUUGACAGGAAAAUCAGUGGAUGGCCAGAAACCAAAACUUUACACUGACGGGAAGAUCAGAAGAAAGGAACAGAUUUAAACUACUCAACUCUGGGACAGCUCAGAAGUGAGAGGUACUGGGUAAGCACUUCAGAAGCAUAGGUGCAGGGUGGAAGUAAAAGCAAGAGGAAAGUUGAUGGUGCUUGUAAGAAACAGUCAAACCACCAUGCUGCACUCCUCCCCUGGCCCCCCAAACAACCAGGAAUUACCCUGCCCCUCCACAAGUGAAAGCCAGGGUUGAACUAUUAUGGACUCUAAUCUUUGAGCUACUCGCUCUGAUUUAGGGCAAGAUAACAUUCUGUACUAAAAACUCAAGUGGAAACCUACACACUGAACUUCAGAUUUCCAGCCACAAUUCUCUCCCACUCCCACCAUGCCAUGUAUCUGCUCAGAUCCCGUUACACUGGCAGCCAGGCAUAUACUCCCAGGCAGGAGCUAAGACAAUGCAUCAUUACUGGCAAAGUAACCAGCCCCCUCCUCCCCGAUUCUGUAGAUACUGGUAUUUGGAGUUCUCCUGCGAAAAGGCCAGGGACAUCUAGCACCACCCAGCGAGACCUACUCAUUGACAGGUUCCACCCAGGUAGGCAGAAUUUCCAAUGAGCUUUUAGUGCUUGGAACUUAAAUAUGAAUAAACAAAAUCAUCAGAAAUUUGAGGGAAGCUUUUUAGCAUGGAAAACAAAAAGGGAAACAGAAAAAAGAAACUCAGAGGAAACAGAUAAUUCAAGGAAGAAGAAAACUUCAAAAUUAAGGUAUCAUAUCCAUGAAGAAAAACCAGA
rnacentral:lncRNA from 1 species